AAUUAUCCUCAUAAGUUUGACAAUAAGAGAAACCAUAUAAAAUUUAAAUUAGCCAUAAUUUAAUUAAUAAUAUGGAAUAAUAAAAUCGGAGGCCACGACUGUUUACUAAAAACACAAUUCAGAGCAAUGAUUAUAUAAUAGUAUUCUGGAUGAAAUUUGCUCAAUGCCAUUAAUAUAAGAGAGGUAAUUUUAAAGUUACUAAUCGAAAAUCUGGUUAAUAGCGGUCUUAACUAUGAGGAUCCUAAGGUAGCAAAAUAAAUUGGCCAUUAAAUGUGGUCUUGUAUCAAUAAUGUAACGAUGGUCUCACUGUCUCUACAACUUGCUCAGUGAAAUUGAAUUGCGAGUGCAGAUGCUCGCUGUCUUCAGAGGGACGGGAAGACCCUAU
rnacentral:rRNA from 1 species